AUAACGUUGGGAAACGAACGCUAAUACCGCAUAACGUAUACGGAUGGCAUCGUCUGUAUACCAAAGGAGCAAUCCGCUGAAAGAUGGGCUCGCGUCCGAUUAGCUAGAUGGUGAGGUAACGGCCCACCAUGGCGACGAUCGGUAGCCGGACUGUGAGGUUGACCGGCCACAUUGGGACUGAGACACGGCCCAGACUCCUACGGGAGGCAGCAGUGAGGGAUAUUGGGCAAUGGGGGAAACCCUGACCCAGCGACGCCGCGUGAGGGAAGACGGUCUUCGGAUUGUAAACCUCUGUCUUUGGGGACGAAAAAGGACGGUACCCAAGGAGGAAGCUCCGGCUAACUACGUGCCAGCAGCCGCGGUAAUACGUAGGGAGCGAGCGUUGUCCGGAAUUACUGGGUGUAAAGGGAGCGUAGGCGGGAAGGCAAGUUGGAUGUGAAAACUGUGGGCUUAACCGACAGACUGCAUUCAAAACUGUUUUUCUUGAGUGAAGUAGAGGCAAGCGGAAUUCCUAGUGUAGCGGUGAAAUGCGUAGAUAUUAGGAGGAACACCAGUGGCGAAGGCGGCUUGCUGGGCUUUUACUGACGCUGAGGCUCGAAAGUGUGGGGAGCAAACAGGAUUAGAUACCCUGGUAGUCCACACCGUAAAC
rnacentral:rRNA from 1 species